GGUGCUUCGAGGACGUAGGCGCUGCCACUGUUUGAUCAGUAGCGAAGCGUGUACGUAAAAUUGGUGCUGGCUGCAGCUUUCGAGGCGCCUCGCUUGGUACCUGCCUCUGCGAACCUGGCUAGAGCUUUUCGGUGGUACGCUCUGGAGCUGACCGAGGCGCUCCCCAGAGCACUCGAGUUGUCGGAGUACCAAACACCCAGAGCUCUUCACUUGCACCAGCGAAACGUUCGCGAUUCGUUUCCAGAAGGCGUGCUUUCGAGAGACUUUGCAAAACGCUGAAACAAAACGUUGUGGAGCCGCGGCGACCGUCCUGCGAAAGCGUUGUUGUUGUCGUAGACGAGUUGCUCGCCUCUGAGCCGCUUGACGGGCGAGUUGUCGAACGUUUUAGACAAGGUAUACAAUGAAACGGUUCUCUGGUGGAACUUUUUUGGAACCAGGUUGAUAGCUUUCAGAUGCUCUUGUUUGAGGAGAGUUUUUUGUUUCCAUCGCUGGAGGAACGACAGUGCUGAGCGAUGGAAGACAACUGUAUACUCGCGACUGGCGUCCGCAAGAGUCAUCGCCGAGUUCGUGCGUUCCGCUAGCGCAAGCACGAGACCUGCACGCUCUUUGCUCAACGUAUGGAGUCGUGAUACGAAGCUGUCACAACGUCGCAAACGGAGUCUGUGAAACAAGGUUAGCGACGACGCUGGAGCAGUUGCGCUACGUUCUUGCUGACUCAAGUUCUGAUGCGAUUCAUCGGCUCCCGCGACUCUUGACCUGGUUGGAACUGAGCACCUUCACGACGAGCUCUUCUGGAUCUUAUGUUCUGUUUCGAUAUUCAUUGGCCCGAAUAGCCCAGAAAGUGCGUACAGUGCGGUUCCGCCCAAAGCACCAAGUCACAGAAGCGGGUAUGCGCUGCUCUCUCAAGUGCCAUGAUUCCAGUAGCAAUAGUUGAUGCCUACUGGCCUUGUUUACGUUUCCGUGUCAGCAUCUUCGCGGUCUACGGAUGCACCUUUUUCAACCGGGGGCGUACACAACGCUUGCCAAUGCGCAUCAGCGACGCGACCAAGGCUGGAAACUGCCGAUCAUUGACCAUCAUGAAUCGGCUGGUUGUGCUGCGACUCUUGCUGCAUCCGAAACCGUACGGAUCCAAUUCCAACCUGGCAAAGCGUAGAGAUUCAUGUACGUUUCUCUAAAUGAGACCGCCUGUCCUGAUCUACGCUCCCUGCCGAACACGACACCAGGAGCAUCCUGCCAAAACGCCGAAGCUGGUGAAUGCGAGAUCAUUGCGAGGCGUGCUCGCUGCGAUCGAGUCGGCUCUUUAUGGGGAAUAUAUGUGGUGGUUCGAAAUUCGCAGAUGUAUAGACGCUAACGAAUCGUCUUGACUGGGAACGUGGCGCAUAUGCGCGGGUCACAAUGCCUGCACUUGCAUGCUCACGAACGCAUGACCAUGUUCCGGUGGUGUAGCGGUUCGUGUAUCGAGAAUAGGACUCGGCAUGGUGUCCGUCGAUGGGUGUCGUCCAUAGAAAUCCCGUAACCAAGUGCGACGAUGCCUGGAGUGGCAACUGUGGCUGAGAAGUCGGUGCGAACGCCAAGUCAGGGAAUCGACAAAAAUCGAUUCCAAUGUGCGGCGGGAUAUUCUUGUUCACCAUGGAAAUGCGUUUUUAUGAUAGGGGGCAACUGAACAAUAGCCAAAUCUGAGGCUUUUCGAACGCAAAGCCUGCAGCUUCCUUGCCCAAGGGACGCAGCACGAGUUCUUCACAUGCGAUGUGCAAGGCUUCGUGAGCGUGCGUCCAUGAUCACGAGUGACUCUUGGCGGCAGAGUCGAUAAAUGCCUCAUUAGAAAAGGCAAUGCUCAUUUUUUAUCGUCUAUGAUUGCGGAGCUGUCGCUACCACACCUGGAUUUGUGCGGCUAUUUUGCGGUACGAACUUAGAUACACGAAGACGUUUACCUCGGUAGAACUGCUUGAUUCCUCAAAGACAACGGUGAAGCAUUUGAACGCUAGUUGCAUACGCAGCCGACACCCGUGGGGAUCCUGCGAAGCGCCUCAUGGAGACGGCGUAUGAGGCAUCUUGUCUGAUCGCGUAGCCGUCAGCGUACUCGCUUGACAGCGCUUUCUCCAGGAAUAGCGAGGCAGGUGGAGCCGCGCUCCUGUGGGCAUGCAUGCGCUGAGACCGCUUGGAACCCCUUAACUAGUCUCACGUUCAACAAAGCGACUAGACAUAUGUCAGCAUAACACGGAAUAGGUCCUCGAAUACGGGCAUAAACGA